CCUACGGGGGGCAGCAGUGGGGAAUAUUGCGCAAUGGGCGAAAGCCUGACGCAGCGACGCCGCGUGAGGGAUGAAGGUCUUCGGAUCGUAAACCUCUGUCAGCAGGGAAGAACGGUCACUGUGCUAAUCAGCAGUGAAUUGACGGUACCUGCAAAGGAAGCACCGGCUAACUCCGUGGCAGCAGCCGCGGUAAUACGGAGGAUGCGAGCGUUAAUCGGAAUUACUGGGCGUAAGGCGCUCGUAGGCGGUAUGUCAAGUCAAGGGGUAAAUCCCCGCGCGCAACGGGGGAACUGCAUUUGAAGAUGGGAGACUGGAGGGUGGGAGAGGAUGGGGGAAGUCGGGGGGUAGGGGUGAGAUCCGUGG
rnacentral:rRNA from 1 species